rnacentral:lncRNA from 1 species
GGGUGUGGAGGGGAGAGGCCGGGAUGGAGCCGGGAUCGAUCGGGAUGGAGCCGGGAUGGAGCGGGAUGGCACCAUGUCUUGAAUGCAGACACCUCCUGCCAGUGAAUACACCCUCUUGCAUUGGAUGUGAGUCAGCAAUAGCUCCACAGCUGCAGCCCCAAACCAACAUCUGCAUAAAGGGCUGAAUAACCAGAGCACUUUGGAAGAUCAAGUCCUCAAUGAGAGCCAUAGAGACCCACAGAGAUCCCAUAGAGACCCCAUGGAGUCUCAUAGAGACCCCAUAGAGACCCACAGAAAGACCCAUACAGACCCAUGGGGACCCAUACAGACCGUAGAGAGCCAUAGAGAGCCACAGAGACCCACAGAGACCCCACAGAGACCAACAGAGACCAACAGGGCCCCAUAGAGACCUAUAGAGACCCACAGAGCCCAUACAGACCCCACAGAGACCCCACAGAGCCCCCAUAGAGACCCAGAGAGCCCACAGAGCCCCAUAGAGAC